rnacentral:rRNA from 1 species
GAUGAACGCUGGCGGCGUGCCUAAUACAUGCAAGUCGAGCGAACGGACGAGAAGCUUGCUUCUCUGAUGUUAGCGGCGGACGGGUGAGUAACACGUGGAUAACCUACCUAUAAGACUGGGAUAACUUCGGGAAACCGUAGCUAAUACCGGAUAAUAUUUUGAAACGCAUGGUUCAAAAGUGAAAGACGGACUUGCUGUCACUUAUAGAUAGAUCCGCGCUGCAUUAGCUAGUUGGUAAGGUAACGGCUUACCAAGGCAACGAUGCAUAGCCGACCUGAGAGGGUGAUCGGCCACACUGGAACUGAGACACGGUCCAGACUCCUACGAGAGGCAGCAGUAGGGAAUCUUCCGCAAUGGGCGAAAGCCUGACGGAGCAACGCCGCGUGAGUGAUGAAGGUCUUCGGAUCGUAAAACUCUGUUAUUAGGGAAGAACAUAUGUGUAAGUAACUGUGCACAUCUUGACGGUACCUAAUCAGAAAGCCACGGCUAACUACGUG